GGGAAGGUGGCUCAAUGGUAGAGUGCUUGCUUAGCAUGCAUGAGGUCCUGGGUUCGAUUCCUCCACUACUUG
rfam:Dipodomys ordii contig_54585, whole genome shotgun sequence.